CACCCAGGUAGCUACUGGGGCUGCGGUGGAGGAGGGUGGUGACCUGGCCUGGGGAGGAAGAAGAAGCCGGUGGCGUUGCUUUAGUGGAAAGCGGAGAGUCAUUUGGACCCCGUGGAGAAGCUGGAAUCCUGAAACCCUAAAGGAACUUGUGUCUGCUCCCGCCCCUUUCCACGCCCCCUCAUUUGCUUUCCGGGCCUUCCUCGGGUGCAGCCAAAAAGCCAGCUUCCAACCUAGAAGAGUUACUAAGAGGGCGUGUGCUGGCAUUCCAACCAGAAAGAAGAUGCGGAAUAUGUCUCUGAAAUUGCUCAGUAUCAUUCUAUGUUCCUAUUUGACAGAAGCUAAAAGACUUGCUUUGGAAAUAUUAUUUGAAAAAUUAUGGCUGUCUGGCCG